CCUACGGGUGGCAGCAGUGAGGAAUAUUGGGCAAUGGAGGAAACUCUGACCCAGCCACGCCGCGUGAGUGAAGAAGGUUUUCGAAUUGUAAAGCUCUUUCGGAUGUGAAGAUGAUGACGGUAACAUCUAAAGAAGCCCCGGCAAACUUCGUGCCAGGAGCCGCGGUAAUACGGAGGGGGCAAGCGUUGUUCCGAUUUACUGGGCGGAAAGGGUGUGUAGGCGGGGAAGUAAUAUAGGGGUGAAAUGCCUGAGCUCAACUCGGGAUAUGCCAUUAUAACUGUUUUUCUAGAGUGAAAGAGAGGAUAUUGGAAUACCCAGUGUAGAGGUGAAAUGCGUAGAUAUUGGGUAGAACACCGGAGGCGAAGGUGAGUAUCUGGCUGUCAACUGACGCUGAGGCACGAAAGCAUGGGGAUCAAACAGGAUUAGAUACCCGGGUAGUC
rnacentral:rRNA from 1 species